AGUGAACGCUGGCGGUAGGCCUAACACAUGCAAGUCGAACGGCAGCACAGUAAGAGCUUGCUCUUACGGGUGGCGAGUGGCGUACGGGUGAGGAAUACAUCGGAAUCUACUUUUUCGUGGGUGAUAACGUAGGGAAACUUACGCUAAUACCGCAUACGACCUACUGGUGAAAUCAUGGGACCUUCGGACCUUGCGCGAUUGAAUGAGCCCAUGUCGGAUUAGCUAGUUUGCGGGGUAAAGGCCCACCAAGGCGACGAUCCGUAGCUGGUCUGAGAGGAUGCUCAGCCACACUGGAACUGAGACACGGUCCAGACUCCUACGGGAGGCAGAAGUGGGGAAUAUUGGCCAAUGGGCGCAAGCCUGAUCCAGCCAUACCGCGUGGGUGAAGAAGGCUUUCGGGUUGUAAAGCCCUUUUGUGGGGAAAGAAAAGCAGCAGCUUAAUACCCCGCCGUUCUGACGGUAGCCAAAGAAUAAGCACCGGCUAACUUCGUG
rnacentral:rRNA from 1 species